CGAAUCAUGACUUUUGAUCAUGAAUCGGCCGUACCUGUUUUCAUCAAGUUACUGUGCCAGGUGCAUGAAUGCGGCUUUUUUUUAACGACAAACUAGUGUGGGUAGGGCUUCCUGCUCAGCGUUUACUUUCGUUUCCUGAACUUUGUGGUUGCUGUUUGUCUUCGUGGGAAGCUCCGUGUUAAGGAAACCGAUCCCUGUGACGAGGCUGUUCUGUAUCGGGGUUUGGAGCUUCUUGUUGGCGUCUCUCUGUGAAGAAACUGUGAAGGUAGAAAGUGUGUGUGAGCUGAUGUGGAUGUGAAUUCAG